AGAGUUUGAUCCUGGCUCAGAUUGAACGCUGGCGGCAGGCCUAACACAUGCAAGUCGAGCGGAUGAAGGGUGCUUGCACCCUGAUUCAGCGGCGGACGGGUGAGUAAUGCCUAGGAAUCUGCCUGGUAGUGGGGGACAACGUUUCGAAAGGAACGCUAAUACCGCAUACGUCCUACGGGAGAAAGCAGGGGACCUUCGGGCCUUGCGCUAUCAGAUGAGCCUAGGUCGGAUUAGCUAGUUGGUGAGGUAAUGGCUCACCAAGGCGACGAUCCGUAACUGGUCUGAGAGGAUGAUCAGUCACACUGGAACUGAGACACGGUCCAGACUCCUACGGGAGGCAGCAGUGGGGAAUAUUGGACAAUGGGCGAAAGCCUGAUCCAGCCAUGCCGCGUGUGUGAAGAAGGUCUUCGGAUUGUAAAGCACUUUAAGUUGGGAGGAAGGGCAGUAAAUUAAUACUUUGCUGUUUUGACGUUACCGACAGAAUAAGCACCGGCUAACUCUGUGCCAGCAGCCGCGGUAAUA
rnacentral:rRNA from 1 species